ensembl:lncRNA
AAGAGACUCACACUAAUCUUCAGCAAACCUUGAGGAAAGCAGAACGUCUUUCAGGGGCUUUAAAUGGCUGUACGAAACCCAGACAGGAGCAGUGGGGUAGAAAGUGGGAUCGAGAAGAGAAGAGCAGCAUGGUCAUUCUGCAUCCUUCUGGCGCCAUAGAGGCCACCUUGCCGUCAAUUUCUUCCCUACAAAGGAGCCGACAGUGUAAGAGCUCUGUUCCACCACUGGAGGCUCCGAGUACCUCAGAGGUCCCAAAAAGACUGCAGCGUCGUUCCUCAGGCUCCCGUGUGCCUAACUCUUCAGCAGUCGUCUACAGCGUGAUCCUGGAGGACAGCCGCAACCAGCCGAGGUACAGCCUGAGGAGCAGGAAAUCCUUAUGCGCCCUGGAGCCAGAAGGCAACAGAGACUGAUAAUGAUCUGUUCA